rnacentral:rRNA from 1 species
GACGAACGCUGGCGGCGCGCCUAACACAUGCGAGUCGAACGGAGCUGCGAGAAGCUUGCUUUUCUUAGCUUAGUGGCGAACGGGUGAGUAACGCGUGAAUAACCUGCCCUGGAGUGGGGGACAACAGUUGGAAACGACUGCUAAUACCGCAUAAGCCCACGAUCCGGCAUCGGAUUGAGGGAAAAGGAUUUAUUCGCUUCAGGAUGGACUCGCGUCCAAUUAGCUAGUUGGUGAGGUAACGGCCCACCAAGGCGACGAUUGGUAGCCGGACUGAGAGGUUGAACGGCCACAUUGGGACUGAGACACGGCCCAGACUCCUACGGGAGGCAGCAGUGGGGGAUAUUGCACAAUGGGGGAAACCCUGAUGCAGCGACGCCGCGUGGAGGAAGAAGGUUUUCGGAUUGUAAACUCCUGUCGUUAGGGACGAUAAUGACGGUACCUAACAAGAAAGCACCGGCUAACUACGUG